CUUCCCACUUCUUCAUCUCACUAUUUAAUCUUCCCACAGUAUCCUCUUCCUUCUUUCCUCCACUGAAACAAAACCAUUUAUCCAUAUCUGAUCUUAGAUCCAACUCCUGCACCAGUAUUGAUGACGAUGAUGAGCGUUUCUGAAUCCAAUUGGGCAACACCGGCACCUUUCCAGACCAUCAAUCAAAAAGACGCCCCUACUUAUAUGAAUCCAUUAACUUCAGAAGAUAAUGGGUCUGAAAUGGAAGAAGUAUCUUGGAGAGCAAGCUUGGAGUCCUGAAACUCCAAAAGGACUAGCUUGGACAACAAAAAAUAAUGAAGAAUGAAAAUUGACAUUUGACCAAUCCAGAAUCCAUGGUUGAGUGAGUUUACACUCAAAAUGAAAAUGCUGCCUUUUGUAUUUUUAGGCCUAACUUGCAAAUAUAUUUUGAUUUCCCCUCUCCUUUUGUAUCAUCAUUGUAUCAGCUGGAGUUUUUGUAUGGUCGUAUGGAGGGAGAAAGAGCUCUUGAGUGUUCAUCUAUUAUUCAUCCAUGUCUCACAUUUUCAUGUGUAAACCUAACUGCUCACCUCUAGGAGUGGCUGAUUUCCAUUUUUGUAUGAGAUAGAUGUACCCAGUUCUAAACUUA